rnacentral:tRNA from 1 species
GCUUCCUUAGCUCAGUUGGUUAGAGCACCCGACUCAUAAUCGGUAGGUCUCAGGUUCAAGUCCUGAAGGAAGCACCA